GAAAAAGAGCACCAAAGACCCAGAUUUUGACAUCAUUUCCUGGUUGAACAAGAUGAAGCAGAGUAAUAAAUGGGUAGGCUUUACCUGAUUGGCUGAAUUGAGGUAUGUAAAUAUUUUCAUUUUAAAGUAAAAAUAUUAAUGUUUGAAAUAAAUGAUGGAAUGUGGGAAUAUUACAAAAAUUCUAGAAAUACCAGGGGAGAUUGUAGGAGUGGGGAUUGAUAUUUUUGGCAGGGUGUCAUUUACUGCCGAUCUCUGUAAGUUCUAAAUAACUGCAAAUUUGACCUAUAAACGCCGCGGAACGGUAUAUUUUUUUUCGUGUUUUUAAUAAGUGCUUAGAACGAACUUUCAAAUAAUACCAGUGAUUUGUUUGAACGGGAAUUAGUAAAUUACUUGGAGGGCAAAAGCUUCCUGGACCCGGGAGAGCUUGGUAUCUGAUCGGCGGGGGGCAUUUUCUCUAUAUAAGAAGAAGAUGGAGACUCGCUACCCACCCGAUAUAUUUUGUCGGACAGAUUUCUGUACAUUGCAGUGACAACUGUAUCCAGAUUUCAUCACAGGAAUGAAAGUUUUUCACUCUUUGGAAAAGCACCUGCAGCAGGGAGGGGACAUUCAUUAAGAUGGCCACAGAUUCCAAGACACUGAAGUGACAGGCCUCAAAUUUCAUACAUGUAUAUUGCUUCCUGGACCCGGGAGAGCUUGGUAUCUGAUCGGCGGGGGGCAUUUUCUCUAUAUAAGAAGAAGAUGGAGACUCGCUACCCACCCGAUAUAUUUUGUCGGACAGAUUUCUGUACAUUGCAGUGACAACUGUAUCCAGAUUUCAUCACAGGAAUGAAAGUUUUUCACUCUUUGGAAAAGCACCUGCAGCAGGGAGGGGACAUUCAUUAAGAUGGCCACAGAUUCCAAGACACUGAAGUGACAGGCCUCAAAUUUCAUACAUGUAUAUUGGUAAGUAUAAGGUCUUUGAAAAUUACAAAAUUGACUAAUUCUGGGAUAGGUAAAUAUGUAAGUAUAGGAAAAAGAGCACCAAAGACCCAGAUUUUGACAUCAUUUCCUGGUUGAACAAGAUGAAGCAGAGUAAUAAAUGGGUAGGCUUUACCUGAUUGGCUGAAUUGAGGUAUGUAAAUAUUUUCAUUUUAAAGUAAAAAUAUUAAUGUUUGAAAUAAAUGAUGGAAUGUGGGAAUAUUACAAAAAUUCUAGAAAUACCAGGGGAGAUUGUAGGAGUGGGGAUUGAUAUUUUUGGCAGGGUGUCAUUUACUGCCGAUCUCUGUAAGUUCUAAAUAACUGCAAAUUUGACCUAUAAACGCCGCGGAACGGUAUAUUUUUUUUCGUGUUUUUAAUAAGUGCUUAGAACGAACUUUCAAAUAAUACCAGUGAUUUGUUUGAACGGGAAUUAGUAAAUUACUUGGAGGGCAAAAGGUUUGUA